CAGAGAGUAGUUUAUAAAAAUAUUAAUUUUGGGAAUUAAAGAUAAAAGUAAUUUUUUCUCUGA
rnacentral:tRNA from 1 species